GCAAGUCGAGGGGCAGCAUGGUCUUAGCUUGCUAAGGCCGAUGGCGACCGGCGCACGGGUGAGUAACACGUAUCCAACCUGCCGUCUACUCUUGGACAGCCUUCUGAAAGGAAGAUUAAUACAAGAUGGCAUCAUGAGUCCGCAUGUUCACAUGAUUAAAGGUAUUCCGGUAGACGAUGGGGAUGCGUUCCAUUAGAUAGUAGGCGGGGUAACGGCCCACCUAGACUACGAUGGAUAGGUGGUCUGAGAGGAAGAUC
rnacentral:rRNA from 1 species